GUAGGUAGAUGGGGAGUAGAAGGGAGAGUGCAUAACAAAACUAAUCUUACUAACCAUUGGCUUGCCUUUAAUUAAUUAUAAGAUCAAAUUAAUGUUAUGGUACUAUCCCAUGUGCCAACCUCACCUGCUCGCGCCAACAGCCGGCUGUUGGCGGCAGCGGCGUGGCUCACCGCGAGAGUGAGACGCUCCGCUGCGGUGCUCCCUGCUGUCUUACUGACGAGGCUCUGGCUUUAACUAAUAUUUAUGGCUGUCUUUUAUUAACAUUGUAUGUCAUGUUAUAGAGCUUGCAGAUGGACUAACCAGGCUGGCAGUGUGUGGCAGCUAACUUGUUUAUAAAUGUGGAAACAUCUCAUUCACACAAAACACAGAUGAGCCGUGCAAUGCUUUGAUGUGUCUCUAAUUAUACAUCGAUGUAAACUCUAACAAUGCAUAGCCAAAUAUAAAUCUAAUUUUAAUAUGUUUUAUAUUACAGAUGACAAACGAUUUAUUAGUAAUAUCACUGUUUAUAUCUUAUCUGAAUAAGAUACUCAAUUAGACAUCAAGAUGACUGUCACUCGUACACUCAAAAGAUACUAAGAGUAUAGAAGCCAAAAGAGAAACUUGAGUGAUGCAAAAGUUAAAAUUGCUACGAUGGUGCUCACCACAUCUACUCGCAAGUCAAGUUCCUCAAGAUGAAGCAUUAAUAACGCAGCCCUGACAAAAUAAUGCAAAUUUGAAGAAUUCAUAAACAUAAAAAGAACUAACUACUAAUUAAGGUAUAGACUAGAAGAAAUAAUAAAAAUUAAAAUGUAAUAUAAUACUUAGCUACCUACGUUUCGCUACUUCAUACUGAACUGAACCGGAGUCUGACAAUGCACCACACGACCUUUUUCUGAUUAUGUAAAACGCCAUGAAUAGAAUAGAAUUGAUCACAUCUCACAAGGAAGGAGGAGUGAUAUGGCGAUAUCAUAUUUUCUUGGCGAAGAAGAAAUUACUGUCUCAAUGCGUAAAAUAUUACUCUACGAAGCAAGAAGGCUAAGAAUGAAAAAAGAAAAGAAGGCAAAACAUAAACGCAAAACGCAAAUAGUAGUUCACGACACGACAAGUUCAUCAGUAUCAUGGAAUUAUCGACAUUGGACUUGAAAUCUCAGUUGAAGUUCCGGUAUUGGAUUGACGACAGCAGUCAACUAUCGAUGAACACUGAUUUGAAGAUGCUUGACGUUCUACAGAGGAAGCAAGAAAAUAACAAUUAGAGAUAUUUACAGAUUAAAACAUAGUAGUUAUGCA